rnacentral:rRNA from 1 species
AUGAUCGAGCAGUUCGUUAACUUCGUCAUCCGCCCGCCACGUGCAGAGUACAACCCAGAUCAGUAUUUAUGGGAGCCAGAGUUUACUCUUGCAGGAAGAAAGUACAAACGAAUAGAUUUGGAGCUUUCCAAUGAAAGAAACCAUACCUUAAAAUGCAGCCACUAUGUUCCUGCCGUCAUCCCAGAAAACAUUGCCCUUCCAUGUGUGAUCUACUGCCAUGGGAAUAGUGGGUGCAGAGCAGAUGCAAACGAAGCUGCUGUCAUACUUUUGCCUUCAAACAUUACACUUUUUGCACUUGAUUUCGCUGGAUCAGGGCUAUCAGGGGGAGAGUAUGUCAGCCUUGGUUGGCACGAGAAACAGGAUCUCAAGUCCGUGGUGUCCUUUUUGCGGAAGAAUAAGGAAGUCUCUUGCAUAGGUCUUUGGGGGCGUUCGAUGGGUGCUGUUACAAGCCUGCUGUAUGGAGCAGAAGACCCCUCAAUUGCUGGCAUGGUUUUGGACAGUGCUUUCUCUAACUUGUAUGAGCUAAUGCUAGAGCUUGUUGAUGUUUACAAAAUCAGAGUUCCAAAGUUCACGGUUAAGAUGGCUGUACACUACAUGCGCCGUGUCAUUCAAAGAAGAGCUAAAUUUGACAUAAUGGAUCUUAAUGUUGUUCAGUUUGCCCCCAAGACGUUUAUUCCGGCAUUAUUUGGACAUGCAUCAAGUGACGUGUUUAUUCAGUCCCAUCACACUGAUCGUAUUCAUCAGGCGUAUGCGGGUGAUAAAAAUUUAAUCAAAUUUGAUGGCGAUCACAACUCUGCUAGGCCCCAGUUUUAUUAUGAUUCCGUUUCAAUAUUCUUCUAUAAUGUUCUGAAUCCACCUCAAUUUCCGUCUGCAUGCUCAAAUAAGCUAGAGAAGUACUAUAACCGUGGGGCUGGAACUAAUGAGAGCUUACUGUAUGAGAUCAUAAAUGGUCUAAGGGCUGCUGGUACUGAUGCAGGAAGUUCAUCCGCAGCUGCAGCUAGUUUCACCAAUGCGACAAAAUCAGUAGUUGAAUUGCUGACGGAGAGGGUAAAUCAACUGUCCGUUAAAAAUGACAGUGACUUGGAUUUCCUUUUGGACGAAAAUCAUAACCUCACUGAAAUGGAAGAGAACACUGCAGAGUCUCAUACACAGGAUAAGGCGAACAGGCAAAAUGAGGAGUGCUGCUCAUACACAAGUUCAAACCGAGAGAGCUGGGGAAGAUGUUCUUCCUUGGGCGCAGCGAGUGAUGUAUCAUCCUCCGGCGAGCGUCCCAGGGUUUCCGAUCAUAAGCAUAAGAGCAUGACACUAAGAGCUCUGGCAACACCGUUGAGACGGAUACGACGGAAACCACUCACCAUACCAAAGGAGAGGAAGAACAGGUCUCUAUGGAAGAGGCUUAACCAGGAGAGGCAUGAUAUGGGGGAGAGCUUAACCCAGCGUUUCAGGCUGUGCCUCCAGGGCCAAUCCCAGCACAAGAGAACAAAGUCGUCCUGA